rnacentral:rRNA from 1 species
GUCUGGUGAUGAUGGCGAAGAGGUCACACCCGUUCCCAUACCGAACACGGAAGUUAAGCUCUUCAGCGCCGAUGGUAGUCGGGGGGUUCCCCCUGUGAGAGUAGGACAUCGCCAGGCA